rnacentral:rRNA from 1 species
CCUACGGGUGGCUGCAGUGGGGAAUAUUGGGCAAUGGGCGCAAGCCUGACCCAGCAACGCCGCGUGGAGGAAGAAGGCUUUCGGGUUGUAAACUUCUUUUCUGAGGGACGAAGAAAGUGACGUUACCUCAGGAAUAAGCCUCGGCUAUCUACGUGCCAGCAGCCGCGGGAAUAUGUAGGUGGCAAGCGUUAUCCGGAUUUAUUGGGUGUAAGGGGCGUGUAGGCGGGAAAGUAAGUCAGAUGUUAAAACUCAGGGCUCAACCCUGAGCCUGCAUUUGAAAAUGUGUUUCUUGAGUGCUGGAGAGGCAAGCGGAAUUCGGGGUGUAGCGGUGAAAUGCGUAGAUAUACGGAGGAACACCAGUGGCGAAGGCGGAUUGCUGGACAGUAACUGACGCUGAGGCGCGAAAGCGUGGGGAGCAAACAGGAUUAGAUACCCUAGUAGUC